GAACUGCGAUAAGUAAUGUGAAUUGCAGAAUUCAGUGAAUCAUCGAGUCUUUGAACGCACAUUGCGCCCCCUGGCAUUCCGGGGGGCAUGCCUGUCCGAGCGUCAUUGCUGCCCUUCAAGACCGGCUUGUGUGUUGGGUCGUCGUCCCCUCCGGGGGACGGGCCCGAAAGGCAGCGGCGGCACCGCGUCCGGUCCUCGAGCGUAUGGGGCUUUGUCACCCGCUCGAUAAGGACCGGCCGGGCGCCAGCCGGCGUCUCCAACCUUUUUUUCUCAGGUUGACCUCGGAUCAGGUAGGGAUACCCGCUGAACUUAAGC
rnacentral:misc_RNA from 1 species